rnacentral:rRNA from 2 species
AGCAGUAGGGAAUCUUCCACAAUGGGCGAAAGCCUGAUGGAGCAACGCCGCGUGGGUGAAGAAGGUCUUCGGAUCGUAAAACCCUGUUGUUAGAGAAGAAAGUGCGUGAGAGUAACUGUUCACGUUUUGACGGUAUCUAACCAGAAAGCCACGGCUAACUACGUGCCAGCAGCCGCGGUAAUACGUAGGUGGCAAGCGUUAUCCGGAUUUAUUGGGCGUAAAGGGAACGCAGGCGGUCUUUUAAGUCUGAUGUGAAAGCCUUCGGCUUAACCGGAGUAGUGCAUUGGAAACUGGGAGACUUGAGUGCAGAAGAGGAGAGUGGAACUCCAUGUGUAGCGGUGGAAU